UGCGGAGGAUCAUAACCCAAUAUCCAGCCCAACACUCCGCUGUGCCCUCGGGCCAGUCUGCUGAGGCUGAAGUAUUUUUCACCCAUGUCUUUUGCGCACUUGUUGUUUCCUGGGCGGGUUCGCUCGCCAUCAGGACCACACCAUAAACCUUUUUUAUGCAGUUGCAAUCAGCGUCAGUAUCACAAAUGUAUAAUCAUUUACAACUUUCAACAACGGAUCUCUUGGUUCUGGCAUCGAUGAAGAACGCAGCGAAAUGCGAUACGUAGUGUGAAUUGCAGAAUUCAGUGAAUCAUCGAAUCUUUGAACGCACAUUGCGCCCUUUGGUAUUCCAAAGGGCAUGCCUGUUCGAGCGUCAUUUGUACCCUCAAGCUUUGCUUGGUGUUGGGCGUUUUUGUCUUGUGCAGCAAGACUCGCCUUAAAACGAUUGGCAGCCGGCCUACUGGUUUCGGAGCGCAGCACAUUUUUGCGCUUGCAACCAGCACAAGAGGCCGGCACUCCAUCAAGUCCUCUUUCUCACAUUUGACCUCGAUCAGUAGAACCC
rnacentral:rRNA from 1 species